UGGGGAAUAUUGCACAAUGGGGGAAACCCUGAUGCAGCGAAGCCGCGUGAACGAAGAAGGUAUUCGUAUCGUAAAGUUCUGUCCUAUGGGAAGAUAAUGACAGUACCAUAGAAGAAAGCUCAGGCUAAAUACGUGCCAGCAGCCGCGGUAAUACGUAUGGAGCGAGCGUUGUCCGGAAUUAUUGGGCGUAAAGGGUACGCAGGCGGUUUAAUAAGUCGAAUGUUAAAGAUCGGGGCUCAACCCCGCAAAGCAUUGGAAACUGAUAAACUUGAGUAGUGGAGAGGAAAGUGGAAUUCCUAGUGUAGUGGUGAAAUACGUAGAUAUUAGGAGGAAUACCAGUAGCGAAGGCGACUUUCUGGACCCAAACUGACGCUGAGGUACGAAAGCGUGGGGAGCAAACAGG
rnacentral:rRNA from 1 species